GAUGAACGCUGGCGGCGUGCCUAAUACAUGCAAGUCGAGCGAACGGACGAGAAGCUUGCUUCUCUGAUGUUAGCGGCGGACGGGUGAGUAACACGUGGAUAACCUACCUAUAAGACUGGAAUAACUUCGGGAAACCGGAGCUAAUACCGGAUGAUAUUUUGAACCGCAUGGUUCAAAAGUGAAAGACGGUCUUGCUGUCACUUAUAGAUGGAUCCGCGCUGCAUUAGCUAGUUGGUAAGGUAACGGCUUACCAAGGCAACGAUGCAUAGCCGACCUGAGAGGGUGAUCGGCCACACUGGAACUGAGACACGGUCCAGACUCCUACGGGAGGCAGCAGUAGGGAAUCUUCCGCAAUGGGCGAAAGCCUGACGGAGCAACGCCGCGAGAGUGAUGAAGGUCUUCGGAUCGUAAAACUCUGUUAUUAGGGAAGAACAUAUGUGUAAGUAACUGUGCACAUCUUGACGGUACCUAAUCAGAAAGCCACGGCUAACUACGUG
rnacentral:rRNA from 1 species